UGGGAAACUGCUGCUAAUACCGCAUGACACCUGAGGGUCAAAGGCGCAAGUCGCCUUAGGAGGAGCCUGCGUACGAUUAGCUUGUUGGUGGGGUAAAGGCCUACCAAGGCGAUGAUCGUUAGCUGGUCUGGGAGGAUGAUCAGCCACAUUGGGACUGAGACACGGCCCAAACUCCUACGGGAGGCAGCAGUGGGGAAUAUUGGACAAUGGGCGAAAGCCUGAUCCAGCAAUGCCGCGUGGAUGAAGAAGGUCUUCGGAUUGUAAAGUCCUUUCGACGGGGACGAUGAUGACGGUACCCGUAGAAGAAGCCCCGGCUAACUUCGUGCCAGCAGCCGCGGUAAUACGAAGGGGGCUAGCGUUACUCGGAAUGACUGGGCGUAAAGGGCGCGUAGGCGGUUUGUUUAGUUAGGCGUGAAAUUCCUGGGCUCAACCUGGGGGCUGCGCUUAAUACAGGCAGACUAGAGUGUGAAAGAGGGUCGUGGAAUUCCCAGUGUAGAGGUGAAAUUCGUAGAUAUUGGGAAGAACACCGGUGGCGAAGGCGGCGACCUGGUUCAUUACUGACGCUGAGGCGCGAAAGCGUGGGGAGCAAACAGGAUUAGAUACCCUGGUAGUCCACGCCGUAAACGAUGUGUGCUGGAUGUUAGGUAACCUAGUUACUUAGUGUCGUAGCUAACGCGAUANG
rnacentral:rRNA from 1 species